UCCUACGGGAGGCAGCAGUGGGGAAUAUUGGACAAUGGGGGGAACCCUGAUCCAGCCAUGCCGCGUGUGUGAAGAAGGCCUUAUGGUUGUAAAGCACUUUAAGCGAGGAGGAGGGUACUGGUAUUAAUACUACCAGCUACUGGACGUUACUCGCAGAAUAAGCACCGGCUAACUCUGUGCCAGCAGCCGCGGUAAU
rnacentral:rRNA from 1 species